ensembl:lncRNA
GUUCAAGUCAUUUCUCAUCCUAUUCUGAGGUUUAAGGACACAAUGAUAUCAACACGAACAUUUUGUAGCUUUGAGUGCAUGCGUGUUAGAUUUGAAGUUAUCUACUGUACAUGCUGUAUUCCUAAACAUUGACAAAGUUUACUUUUAGCAGAAAUACACCUUUAAAAAUGCAUUUGUUUUUCUUCUAGGAAAAUGCAUGAAAAAUAUUAAUGACUCACUCUGAGCUACGCAGAUUUUUGUUAUCUCAGAUGCUCAACGGUAACCACUCGAGUAACAUUUCUGUCCAGCACAAAGAGAAGUGCAGAGGUGGAUGCUGGUGUAAUCUAUCCCAUAUGUCGACUUUCUGGAAAGCACACAGUUAUAAAAUCCCACUCUUCUGCAGGGACCCUACGCCGAGCCUGCUUCAUCAAAUGAAAAACAGAACCAGGACCACCAUGCAGCGCUGUGUCUGUGGGAGGCUUUAAAAGAAGUCCAGGUGUCACAAAGAAGACAGAGCAACAUUGGUUUAGGAAAAGUGGAUCAUCUUUGCCUCAUCAGCCAGGCCAUUUUCUACAGGACGACGGAUCCCGAAGCCCCUGGCAGCCCAACGUUGCCAUCAUCUCCGUAACUGGCAGCUAUAUUGUCCACAGUAGCAGCUGCGACUCGCCUCGGGGACGAAGCUCUUGUCUCACCGCACAUGGUCUACAAACCCUGCAUGACAAGUGCUUUCUCCGUGCUACGAUGGCGAGAACAGAGGUGCCAGAUCAGUUUCCAUGACUCCCCUGCAGAAUGCCAGCGAUGAGCUGCAGUGAACAUGACAGUGUGGUGGGUUUGGUCUGUUAUUAUUGUGACUUCCUGUGGCUAACCACCAUGCUGCGGGUGUGCACACACACACACACACACACACACAAACCAUCAGACACCUGAGAUGUUCUCGGAGUCCUGACGACUGAUAUAACAAAACCUGACAAAGCUUUUUCCUUUGAAAGUGUCCAUGGGAGAAUGUUUAAGCAGGCAGAACGCUAACUUAUAUUCACCACCUAUGUUACCUUCCCAAGAAGCAACUAAUGCUACA